AAAGGGACAAACAUAAUCCUUCGCUGUACUAAAAACUAUUCAAUUGAAAUAAGCAUAGCGUGCGGUUUUUCACAAUAUAAAGUGAUCAAACAAUUUUGUAUUUGUUGCAUGCAAAAGUAGAGUAAAAAAUGGCUAAAACUCUCAAGGUUUUUUAUACUAUGAUCCUUUUAGUGUUCUUAUGUCUUGCUCUAGUCGAUGUUGGUGCUCUGAAAUGUAUGUCACACAUGGAUUGUGAAUAUUGCAAAGAUGGAGUUUGCAUAGAUGGUUAUUGUAAGUGCUUGAUAAGUGGUUAUAGUACAAAUAAAGGUUAAAUUGAACAUGAUCACGACAAGCAAGCGAUGGAGCUUUUCUUGUGGAACUAAAGUACUAGAGACUAGUACUUCACUUUAUUUUAAGAUUUUUUUUACUAUCGUUGAUUUUCUGGUAUGGGUAGAGAUCUUUGAUAUUCAAUAGUAUCUUUUAAAUCAGCUACUCGAUUUAAUAAUUGUUUGUAUUGUUCAAGUUUUAGUGUUUACACUUGUUUUAUUUUUUAGUUUUCAAAGUUA